rnacentral:rRNA from 1 species
GACGUAGGGCGCGAGCGUUGUCCGGAUUUAUUGGGCGUAAAGAGCUCGUAGGCGGUUUGUCGCGUCUGCCGUGAAAGUCCGGGGCUCAACUCCGGAUCUGCGGUGGGUACGGGCAGACUAGAGUGAUGUAGGGGAGACUGGAAUUCCUGGUGUAGCGGUGAAAUGCGCAGAUAUCGGGAGGAACACCGGUGGCGAAGGCGGCGACCUGGGUGGAUACUGACGCUGAGGCGCGAAAGCGUGGGGAGCAAACAGG